CUCUCUUUGGGAAUGCUGAUGUUGGCUGUUCCUCCUGCCAACUUCGUUACUUUCCACGCGGAUGUCUUCAAGUGGAGCCAGUUGCAACGCGGUCUUGACUUAAAACGAACUCCUGUCUUACCUCGGAUUUCGGUGCUGUCAGUCUGAAAAACAGACGUCCAUUUGGUACUCUAGAUGGACUGUCCUUCCCUGACCUAAAGCUGGGCCAUUUGGAGAUUUGGAGAACAAAGGUUGUUGGCUGUGAUUGUAGCAGAGUCCUGAGCUCCUGUGGAGAUUUGCCUCUCUCCAGCCUUGGGCUAUCUGCAUUCUUGAACAGCUCAGGACCCAGAAGGAAAAGAAGAAUGCUGACCCGCUCUGGGGAUGGCCUGAAUGAAGAGAGCGCGAUUCCUGGUGGUGGCGGCCUCGGCCUGAAGCAGCCUGGCCCUACGCUGGAAACAUUGUCUUCCCGCGGCUCGGGAGCGGGAACGCAGCCCCUGGCUGAGUGA
rnacentral:lncRNA from 1 species